AUGGGACGGCCCGCUGGGCUGUUCCCGCCCCUAUGCCCUUUUUUGGGUUUCCGGCCAGAGGCAUGCUGGGAGCGUCACAUGCAAAUUGAGCGUGCACCCAGCGUUCCGCCCUUUCUACGCUGGGCCGGUUAUCGACCCGGCCCAGUGCGCAGGCGCGGGAAAGUUGAACUAAUAAAGUUUGUACGAGUUCAGUGGAGGAGACCGCAAGUUGAGUGGAGGAGGCGGCGGUGGGGCCCCGGACCAGGUGCCUCCAUGGCAGGCUCUGAAGAGCUGGGGCUCCGGGAAGACACGCUGAGGGUCCUAGCUGCCUUCCUUAGGCGUGGUGAGGCUGCCGGGUCUCCUGUUCCAACUCCACCUAGGCCCAGCUACUCCAGACUUCUAUGCUUUGGUGGCCCAGCGGCUGGAACAGCUGGUCCAAGAGCAGCUGAAAUCUCCGCCCAGCCCAGAAUUACAGGGUCCCCCAUCGACAGAGAAGGAAGCCAUACUGCGGAGGCUGGUGGCCCUGCUGGAGGAGGAGGCAGAAGUCAUUAACCAGAAGGUGAUGGGCAUCUGUCCCACUCCUUGGCAAGGACAGGAGUUGCGGAAUGCUGGCCUCGGACCCCGCCCUGCGCAGCAAGCUGGUCCGCCUGUCCUCCGACUCUUUCGCCCGCCUGGUGGAGCUGUUCUGUAGCCGGGAUGACAGCUCUCGCCCAAGCCGAGCAUGCCCCGGGCCCCCGCCUCCUUCCCCGGAGCCCCUGGCCCGCCUGGCCCUAGCCAUGGAGCUGAGCCGGCGCGUGGCCGGGCUGGGGGGCACCCUGGCCGGACUCAGCGUGGAGCACGUGCACAGCUUCACGCCCUGGAUCCAGGCCCACGGGGGCUGGGAGGGCAUCCUGGCUGUUUCACCCGUGGACUUGAACUUGCCAUUGGACUGA
rnacentral:sRNA from 1 species